GGAAAGGUUAAAGGAUCUUAACAUGUAUAGCUUGGAGGAAAGACGAGACAGGGGGGAUAUGAUAGAAACAUUUAACCCCUUAAGGACACAUGACGGAAAUAUUCUGUCAAGAUUCCCUUUUAUUCCAGAAGUUGUAUCCUUAAGGGGUUAAAUACAUAAAGGGAAUCAACACAGUAAAGGAGGAGACUAUAUUUAAAAGAAGAAA